rnacentral:lncRNA from 1 species
AAAGAACUCACAGCCUUACCAAUCAUGCAUAAUAACACUACCCCAACAAAGGGGCACCGGUAAAGGUGCUAUAACAUUUCAGGUGGGACCUGAAGUCAGAGAGACAGCAUGGAUCAUAAGCAAGAUGCAUCUGAACCAAUUCAGCUAAGAGUAAGAUGAAAAUGGAGAGCCACUUUGGCCCUGAUGCCACCUGUGAGCAGGGGUUUUGCCCACAUGGGGCCAUUGGGCUGAAGUGAGGAGUUACAGAAGAAGAGCUGUGAGGGAGACAAGGAAAGCAGAGGAGGACACAGGGGGAGGAGAGGAGAUGGACAAGCAGGUGACAAAAGAAGGCAAAUGAUGGGAAAAAGUCAGAGGAGAGAGCAACAGGAAAAGGGGA